CAAAAAUUAUCUGAUCAUUUGGAAGAAAUCAUGAAUGGAAUCUGAUGAUGAGAUUGUAAUGUUAUGUUCAGAAGGUUGAAUUUGUUCCGAUGAAUUUUGAACGAGAAUCAUCUACUUCAGAAAUGUGCUGCACUCCCCAGCGUUUGAACGAAUGGAUUGAGGUUCAGGAUUCGCUGAAGGAGUGUCUGAUCACUGAGGAUGAAUUCGACUGGAAAGUACCAGCAAUGGAAGGGCAGGGCUCGGGCGUUGUAGAAGGGAAUCAAGAUUCCUGUAGCGUUGAAGAACUCAAGUACAUCGGUGGAGUUGACUUAAGUUUCUGCAAGAAUGAUCCGUCGAUUGCAUGUGCCAGCCUCGUGGUUUUAGAAUUUCCUGCUAUGGAAGUUGUACACGAAGAUUUCGCCAUUGUUAGGAUGGAUAUUCCUUAUGUUGCUGGCUUUCUGGCAUUCAGAGAGGCCCCAUGUCUUCUUGAACUUUUAGAAAAAAUGAAGAAGGAAGCGUGCUCAUUUUAUCCCCAGGUAGUGAUGGUUGAUGGCAAUGGACUGCUUCAUCCUCGAGGCUUUGGAUUGGCUUGUCAUCUUGGUGUUCUGGCUAAUAUUCCCACAAUUGGGAUAGGAAAGAAUUUGCACCAUGUAGAUGGCCUUACACAAUCUAGAGUGAGACAACUUCUUGAAGUCAAUCAAAAUACAUCCGGUGGAAUCUUCCCAUUGAUUGGUGAUUCUGGGUCCACCCUAGGAGCAUUGGAUACAGGCAAUGCUGUCAACUAAAGAUGCCCUGAAGCCAAUAUUUAUAUCAGUUGGACAUCGUAUAUCCCUUGCCAGCGCCAUCAAAAUUGUGAAGCUGUGUUGCAGGUUUCGGGUACCAGAACCCGUCAGGCAGGCUGAUAUAAGAUCAAAAGUUCACCUUUGGAAGCAUGGCUCGAGCUUGUCCCCAAAUCCUUGAUAUAUGCAUUGGGAGAAAGUGGUCGAAUAACACCUCUCACUGUGUUCUGAUUACACAUGAAGCAAGCUCAAGAUUUAAAAAUGGUUCUAGCAAUAUGUGUAUGUAUAUCAUCACAAUGCAGAGUUUCUUCUUGAACCUCAGACUCUUAAUAACAGGGUAGCCACCAAUGAUGAGAGUGGUCUUCCCAACCGUGAAUUAACAUGUAUGGUUUUCUGUAAUUUUAGCCACAACCUUAGUUUCUUAAAUUUAUUUGCAGUUUACUGUGCUGCUAGCAAAGUCUUUCUUAAAUUUUAACAUGUUUGCUUCACUACAUUUGACCAAUGAAACGAUUGGGCAUUGAAGAGAUGCUAUUGAUCCUAAGUAUAGAUGACUUAUUCUGGCUUAGGCUUU